rnacentral:rRNA from 1 species
GAUGAACGCUGGCGGCGUGCUUAACACAUGCAAGUCGAACGAAACACCUUAUUUGAUUUUCUUCGGAACUGAAGAUUUGGUGAUUGAGUGGCGGACGGGUGAGUAACGCGUGGGUAACCUGCCCUGUACAGGGGGAUAACAGUCAGAAAUGACUGCUAAUACCGCAUAAGACCACAGCACCGCAUGGUGCAGGGGUAAAAACUCCGGUGGUACAGGAUGGACCCGCGUCUGAUUAGCUGGUUGGUGAGGUAACGGCUCACCAAGGCGACGAUCAGUAGCCGGCUUGAGAGAGUGAACGGCCACAUUGGGACUGAGACACGGCCCAAACUCCUACGGGAGGCAGCAGUGGGGAAUAUUGCACAAUGGGGGAAACCCUGAUGCAGCGACGCCGCGUGAGUGAAGAAGUAUCUCGGUAUGUAAAGCUCUAUCAGCAGGGAAGAAAAUGACGGUACCUGACUAAGAAGCCCCGGCUAACUACGUGCCAGCAGCCGCGGUAAUACGUAGGGGGCAAGCGUUAUCCGGAAUUACUGGGUGUAAAGGGUGCGUAGGUGGUAUGGCAAGUCAGAAGUGAAAACCCAGGGCUUAACUCUGGGACUGCUUUUGAAACUGUCAGACUGGAGUGCAGGAGAGGUAAGCGGAAUUCCUAGUGUAGCGGUGAAAUGCGUAGAUAUUAGGAGGAACAUCAGUGGCGAAGGCGGCUUACUGGACUGAAACUGACACUGAGGCACGAAAGCGUGGGGAGCAAA